rnacentral:tRNA from 1 species
AAGAAAGUGGCAGAACGGCUAUGUGGUUGGCUUGAAACCAGUUUAUGGGGGUUCGACUCCCUCCUUUCUCG